CCCCAAAGUCCCAGUACUACACAGCGUGGGAAUUUAGUCUACAGAAUGUCAUCCACCCCACUGUCUCAUACUCCGGAUGAGCCCCUGAGUCCAGUGGACAGCAAUGAGGGCGAGGAUCUGGGACCACCACAGGGCGAUGCGUUCCUGAGGCAUAUUUCAACAAAGACUCGUCAGACACACUGUGUGUCACUGGACCACCUGUACACCCGGCCGUGGAGCUGGCGCUCCGACGGGGUGCACGUGCAGCACCAGACCCGUCUGGUGCUGGUCAACCCCCCGGCACAGAGUGGACGUCA